UACGUAGCAGCGAGCGUUGUUCGGAGUUACUGGGCGUAAAGGGUGUGUAGGCGGUUGUUUAAGUUUGGUGUGAAAUCUCCCGGCUCAACUGGGAGGGUGCGCCGAAUACUGAAUGACUAGAGUGCGGGAGAGGAAAGUGGAAUUCCUGGUGUAGCGGUGAAAUGCGUUAGAUAUCAGGAGGAACACCGGUGGUGUAGACGGCUUUCUGGACCGUAACUGACGCUGAGACACGAAAGCGUGGGUAGCAAACAGG
rnacentral:rRNA from 1 species